UACAGAGGGGGCAAGCGUUGUUCGGAAUUACUGGGCGUAAAGGGCGCGUAGGCGGCCGCCUAAGUCAGACGUGAAAUCCCUCGGCUCAACCGGGGAACUGCGUCUGAUACUGGGUGGCUUGAAUCCGGGAGAGGGAUGCGGAAUUCCAGGUGUAGCGGUGAAAUGCGUAGAUAUCUGGAGGAAUACCGGUGGCGAAGGCGGCAUCCUGGACCGGCAUUGACGCUGAGGAGCGAAAGCUAGGGGAGCAGACGGG
rnacentral:rRNA from 1 species